AUACUUACCUGGCAGGGGUGAUACCAUGAUCAUGGACGUGAUUUUCCCAGGGCGAGGCUUAUCCAUUGCGUUCCAGAUGUGCUGACACAUGUGAUUUCCCCAAAUGUGGGAAACUCGACUGCACAAUUUGUGGUAGUCGAGGACUGUGUUCGAGCUCUCUCCUG